UGAGGAAUCUUGUACAAUGGGCGAAAGCCUGAUACAGCGACGCCGCGUGGAGGAUGAAGGCCUUCGGGUUGUAAACUCCUGUCAAACGGGAAGAAAGUCUUGUCUCUAAUACAGACGAGAUAUGACGGUACCGUUAAAGGAAGCACCGGCUAACUUCGUGCCAGCAGCCGCGGUAAUACGAAGGGUGCAAGCGUUAUUCGGAUUUACUGGGCGUAAAGGGUGUGUAGGUGGUGUGAUAAGUCUAUUGUUAAAGCUCCCGGCCUAACCGGGAAAAUGCAGUGGAAACUAUUGCGCUAGAGGGUGAGAGAGAGAAGUGGAAUUCUCGGAGUAGCGGUAAAAUGCGUAGAUAUCGAGAGGAACACCGAUGGCGAAGGCAGCUUCUUGGCUCAUUCCUGACACUGAAACACGAAAGCGUGGGGAGCAAACAGG
rnacentral:rRNA from 1 species